rfam:Edhazardia aedis TSNM 41457 supercont1.27, whole genome shotgun sequence.
GCAUCGAUAGUUCAGUGGUAAAACAUUAGCCUUCCAAGCUUAAGCCCCGGGUUCGAUUCCCGGUCGUUGCA